AUUAAAUUAUCAUAAAUAAAAAUGUUUUAAAUUUAGAAUUUAAAUAAGUAAUAUUAAUUACAUUUAAUA
rnacentral:tRNA from 1 species